rnacentral:rRNA from 1 species
UGGGAAGUACGGCCGCAAGGCUGAAACUUAAAGGAAUUGGCGGGAGAGCACUGCAACGGAAGGAGCGUGCGGUUUAAUUGGAUUCAACGCCGGAAAACUCACCGGGGGCGACCGGCAUAUGUGGGCCAGGCUGACGACCUUGCCCGAAUAAGAGCCGGAGAGGUGGUGCAUGGCCAUCGUCAGCUCGUACCAUAGGGCGUUCACUUAAGUGUGAUAGCGAGCGAGACCCCCAUCCCCAGUUGCCACCUGUCCCUCCGGGGGCAGAGCACACUGGGGAGACCGCCGGCGCUAAGCCGGAGGAAGGUGGGGUCAACGGUAGGUCAGUACGCCCCGAAUCCCCCGGGCUACACGCGCGCUACAAAGGGCGGGACAAUGGGUUGCGACCCCGAAAGGGGGAGCUAAUCCCGAAACCCGUCCGUAGUUCAGAUCGAGGGCUGUAACUCGCCCUCGUGAAGCUGGAUUCCGUAGUAAUCGCGGGUCAACAUCCCGCGGUGAAUGCGCCCCUGCUCUUUGCACACACCGCCCGUCAAACCAUCCGAGUUGGCUCCGGGUGAGGCUCUGUUCUAUUCGGGCAGGGUCGAACCCGGGGUCAGCGAGGAGGGUUAAGUCGUAACAAGGUAACC